CUCAGGGAUUCAGUUGUGCCAGUGAGGCAGGCAUAUACCUCGGGAUGGCGAUGACACAGUCUGCAACAAAUACUGCCAGACCUGCUGAGCCUUUCCAGCAAUUCCGUUUUUGUUCUCUUGGUUCCUACAGCAUGCUCCUCAUCUUCAUUUAAAACAAUUCCACAUCCUGAUCCCCGGGAGAUGUCUCUCGGCAAUAAACAGCUGAAGCUGCCGGGAGAGGGGAGAAACGUCACAGGGAGCGGAC